GCCUGGCUGGCUCAGUCAGUGGAGCAUGUGACUCUUGAUCUCGGGGUCGUGAGUUCAAGCCCCACAUUGGGUG
rnacentral:tRNA from 1 species